rnacentral:rRNA from 1 species
UACAGAGGUCUCAAGCGUUGUUCGGAUUCAUUGGGCGUAAAGGGUGCGUAGGUGGCGCGCUAAGUCAGGUGUGAAAUUUCGGAGCUUAACUCCGAAACUGCAUUUGAUACUGGCGUGCUUGAGGACUGGAGAGGAGACUGGAAUUCAUGGUGUAGCAGUGAAAUGCGUAGAGAUCAUGAGGAAGACCAGUGGCGAAGGCGGGUCUCUGGACAGUUCCUGACACUGAGGCACGAAGGCCCAGGGGGAGCAAAACGGGG